rnacentral:rRNA from 1 species
UGGCUCAUUACAACAGCCGUUGUUUCUUGGAUCUUGAUUUACUUGGAUAACUGUGGUAAUUCUAGAGCUAAUACAUGCAACCAAGCUCCAACCUUGCGGAAGGAGCGCAUUUAUUAGACCAAGACCAAUCGGGCUCUGCCUGACUUUUGGUGACUCUGAAUAACUAUGCUGAUCACACGGUCUAGCACCGGUGACAUAUCUUUCAAGUGUCUGCCCUAUCAACUUUCGAUGGUAGUUUAUGUGCCUACCAUGGUUGUAACGGGUAACGGAGAAUAAGGGUUCGACUCCGGAGAGGGAGCCUGAGAAAUGGCUACCACAUCCAAGGAAGGCAGCAGGCGCGCAAAUUACCCACUCUCAGUUCGAGGAGGUAGUGACGAAAAAUAACGAGACGGUUCUCUAUGAGGCCCGUCAUCGGAAUGGGUACAAUUUAAACCCUUUAACGAGGAUCUAUUGGAGGGCAAGUCUGGUGCCAGCAGCCGCGGUAAUUCCAGCUCCAAUAGCAUAUGCCAAUUCUGUUGCUGUUAAAAAGCUCGUAGUUGGAUCUUUUCCGAGGAGCCAGUCUGCCUAAAGGGUAUGUACUGGUUUCCAAGGAUUUUUUUGCUGGUUUUCCCGUGGUGCUCUUUACCGGGUGUCACGGGUGGCUAGCGCUAUUACUUUGAAAAAAUUAGAGUGCUCAAAACAGGCGUUACUGCCCGAAUAGUGGUGCAUGGAAUAAUGGAAUAGGAUCUCGGUUCUAUUUUGUUGGUUUUAGGAGCGCGAGAUAAUGAUUAAGAGGGACAGACGGGGGCAUUCGUAUUGCGGCGUUAGAGGUGAAAUUCUUGGAUCGCCGCAAGACGAACAACUGCGAAAGCAUUUGCCAAGAAUGUUUUCAUUAAUCAAGAACGAAAGUUAGAGGUUCGAAGGCGAUCAGAUACCGCCCUAGUUCUAACCGUAAACGAUGCCAUUUAGCAAUCUGCUGGCGUUAAUCAUGACCCAGCAGGCAGCUUCCCGGAAACGAAAAUCUUUCGGUUCAGGGGGAAGUAUGGUUGCAAAGCUGAAACUUAAAGGAAUUGACGGAAGGGCACCACCAGAUGUGGAGCCUGCGGCUUAAUUUGACUCAACACGGGAAAACUCACCCGGCCCGGACACUGUAAGGAUUGACAGAUUGAUAGCUCUUUCUUGAUUCAGUGGGUGGUGGUGCAUGGCCGUUCUUAGUUGGUGGAGUGAUUUUGUCUGGUUAAUUCCGAUAACGAACGAGACUCUAGCCUGCUUAAAUAGUUCGCGGAUCGUUCCGUCCGCGGUACUUCUUAGAGGGACAAGUGGCAUUAUAGCCGCACGAGAUUGAGCAAUACAGGGUCUGUGAUGCCCUUAGAUGUCCGGGGCUGCACGCGCGCUACACUGAAGGAAUCAUAUUGCCUCU